AUCGCUUCUCGGCCUUUUGGCUAAGAUCAAGUGUAGUUUCUGUAGAUGUGGAAAAAUUGGAAAGGCUACUUACUGUGGGGGGUGGGGCAGGUGUUCAUUGCUAUUUUUAAAAGUGAAGUUUUUUCUCUUUUAACCAAAUCAAGGCAAAAGAAAGGCCUUCCCUUUAAAAAGGCACCAUAUUCAGAGGCUUUCUG